UAUUCAUCCCAUGCGGGAAGGAUGAGAAGCUUCGACUAAGGUUCGAUUCGAGCGAAGCGAGAAAGCGUUGCCGCAGGCAACGACCCGAAGGGCGAGGCGCAACGCGCCGAGUAAUCCUUCCCCCACAACCA
rnacentral:sRNA from 1 species